rnacentral:misc_RNA from 1 species
UUUUCUUGUGAAUCUUUUAUUAGAAAGAACCUAUUAAACGAGAAAUAAUAUACUUUUGACAGGGACACGAGUCCGCCUGUUGAAUGGCACACUAAAAACUUAUGAAAGAAAAUUCAUUCCAGCCUGUCCAAGCAGGUCAAUAACAAUCAAAAACUUCGAAGUCAAACAUGGAGCAACAAAUAGACAGAGAAAUACUUGGUUUGCAAACUUAUUUUUUUUUCGAUAUAGGAGUAUGUCCAUGUUUAAUUGAAGAGACAAAUCACAGGAGAUGAUCCUUGAGAAACUAUUCUUCUGCAACUAUACUUAUUUCACCCUUCUCCAGCAAGUCAUAAAAUGACCUAACUUUUCUUUGCUCGUUCCAGUGGUGCAUCUUCCACAAGCUUCCAGCAGCCAAACCAAGUACACUUGCGAUAACUAUUUCCUUGACCACACUAGGUCCUUUCAAUGUGGCAUGUGCAAUCCUAUGGCCAGCCAUUUGAAUCCGAAUGUAGCAAAAUUCUGAUAGGGAAGAGCUCGGACGAAGACGAUGUAGAGAGAAGAA